CCUACGGGAGGCAGCAGUGGGGAAUAUUGGGCAAUGGGCGCAAGCCUGACCCAGCAACGCCGCGUGAAGGAAGAAGGCUUUCGGGUUGUAAACUUCUUUUCUCAGGGACGAAGACAUUGACGGUCCCUGCGUACUAAGCCACGGCUAACUACGUGCCAGCAGCCGCGGUACUACGUGGGUGGCAAGCGUUAUCCGGAUUUAUUGGGUGUAAAGGGCGUGUAGGCUGGCGGGCAAGUCAGAUGUGAAAUCUCAGGGCUCAACCCUGGGACUGCAUUUGAAACUGUGUUGCUUGAGUGUUGUAGAGGCAAGCAGAAUGCCGUGUGUAGCGGUGAAAUGCGUAGAUAUACGGAGGAACACCAGUGGCGAAGGCGGAUUGCUGGACAGAAACUGACGCUGAGGCGCGAAAGCGUGGGGAGCAAACAGGAUUAGAUACCCCAGUAGUC
rnacentral:rRNA from 1 species